GAUGAACGCUGGCGGCGUGCUUAACACAUGCAAGUCGAACGGGAUCCAUCAAGCUUGCUUGGUGGUGAGAGUGGCGAACGGGUGAGUAAUGCGUGACCGACCUGCCCCAUACACCGGAAUAGCUCCUGGAAACGGGUGGUAAUGCCGGAUGCUCCAGUUGAUCGCAUGGUCUUCUGGGAAAGCUUUCGCGGUAUGGGAUGGGGUCGCGUCCUAUCAGCUUGACGGCGGGGUAACGGCCCACCGUGGCUUCGACGGGUAGCCGGCCUGAGAGGGCGACCGGCCACAUUGGGACUGAGAUACGGCCCAGACUCCUACGGGAGGCAGCAGUGGGGAAUAUUGCACAAUGGGCGCAAGCCUGAUGCAGCGACGCCGCGUGAGGGAUGGAGGCCUUCGGGUUGUAAACCUCUUUUAUCGGGGAGCAAGCGAGAGUGAGUUUACCCGUUGAAUA
rnacentral:rRNA from 1 species